rnacentral:rRNA from 1 species
GAGUUUAAUUUUUGCUCCGACUGAACGUUUUCCAGUGGUUUCUUAAGGCAUGCAAAUCGUUAUUAAUUUCGGUUAAUAAGGUGUACGGGUGAGUAAUAAUAAAUAAGAUACCCUACAGACUUCGGUAAUAGAGGAUAGUUCUGUUUUUUUUUGUAAAGAAAUUAAGAAUAAAGGGACUUCAUUUAUGUUAUCUAAAAUUUUUUUAAAAUAUUUAGAAAUAUAAUUCCUACUGUAGGAUUCUAUUUAUCUUGAAUAGGUAGUUGAUAGGGUAAUGGCCUACCAAGCCUACGAUCAAUAGCCAGCUUGAAAGAGGGAUUGGCCACAUUGGGUCUGAAAUUUACCCAAGUAGUGCAUAACUACCAGCAGCCGAGAAUAUUUGUCAAUGCUCGCAAGAGUGAACAAGCCAACUGGAAUCACAACAACUUGUGAUAAAGUAAGGGAGGAUAAUGACGUUACCUUAUUAUUAGUGUCGUCUAAAAUUGGUGCCAGAAGACUCGGUAAUACCAAAUACACAAACGUUAGUCAUCAUAAAUAGGCGUAAAGGGUUUGUAGGCUGCUCAAAAAAAAAUUAUAAAAUAAGAGCUAGAAUCAAAUAGAGGUCAAUAUCAUACCUAGUGAAAGAAUUAAAUCUGUAAAUAUUAGGGGGAAUACUAGAAGCGAAGGCGAUUUUCCAUUUAAUGAUUGACGCUGAGACACGAAGGUUGGGGCAGGAAAUAGGAUUAGAUACCCUAGCACUCCCAACUGUAAACGAUGAAUGGUAGGUGUUAAUUAUAUUAAAAUUAGCACCGAUGUGAACACGUUAACCAUUCCGCCUUGUGAGUAUACUUGCAAAAGUGAAAACAAAAAAAUUAGUCGGCCCCGAAGCAAACGAAGUGAAGCAUGUUGUUUAAUACGAUAAUCCGCGUAAAAUCUUACCAUGGCUUGAAUAUAACUUUUCUAAGAAUAUUUCACGUAAAAAUAUUCAUUUGUUAAAAAUAAUUAACGGAGAAAAGGAAUAAUUACUAUUAUUCAUUUACAGGUGUUGCAUGGCUGUCGUCGGUUCGUAUCGUGAGAUGUUUGGUUAAUUCCGCUAACGAACGCAAUCCCUAUUGUUAAUUUAUACUUAACACAGGCUUACCCUAAAAAAGGGAAGUUGUUUGGGGCUAUGACAAGCCGUUAUGACCCUUAUGCCGUGGGCUAUAGACGUGCCACAAAAACUUUAACAAUAUGAAGCAAUCCAUCGCCAAGUCUCGAGUAAUUUGGGAAAAUUUAGUUGGAGAAUAUGAGGAGCUAAUCAUCAAAAUAAGUUAUAGCCGGAUUGUUGCCUGAAACUCGGCAACAUGAAGAAGGAAUUUCGAGUAAUCGUUGAUCACCAGCGCAACGGUGAAGACAUAAUUCGGGGUUUUUAGUUAAAAGCCCCUUUCAGAUCUAAGGUGCUCUAUCCAAUGGUAGGGGACUUGCAGAUCUGAAAGAAAACUGGAUAAAUUGCAAGAAAGAUUUUAAGUAUUUCCCCUUGGAAAGUUAAAGUUAAUUUGCAGCCGAGUGUAUUUAAGUGGUAUUUAAUUUAUCUUGUGGUUUAAUUAACUCACAGGUAGUUUAAAUUUAAGUACAAAGGUUCAACGACUAACGGGUGAAUGAUCACAAAUAAUAAUCCCGACACGAACAUCCAGCACCGGUAAUUUACCGGUGAUGACAUAGUCUGAACAGUAACGUAAGUUACUGAAGUAAAGGUUAAAUUCCGUUACGUUAACAAAAUUGGAACUAACUGUCCAUCAAGGGAAAGAAGUGCGAAAGUAGGAAGAAGUGAAGAGUAAACUUGUUAUGUUUUAUUUAGUUAAAUCUUUUUUUAAAGUUUUAAGAAUAUUAUGUUGAGUUUAUAAUUAGUUUCCAGUACUGUAGCAUAACAUUUUCUAAGUUGUAGCAAGGUAGCUGUACUGGAAAGUGCAGCUG